GAGGUCUUGGGAACUUGAAGGCAGACUUGGACUACAUAACCCAUUGGAAAUAUGGGAGCUUAAAGGCAACACGUCAGUUUGUCAAAGUACAAAGGUUUUGGAGCCUCAACUUUGGUGUUGACUAGUACUGAUGGCAUUAUGUUUGGAUGAUUUUCAUGUUCCACCACCCAACUGGCUGUAGCCUCCAAGCUAGCAUAGUGAAGUGUACGAGUUGGAUUUCAUAGAGAGGAGAAUUUUCAAGGACAUAUGGCCUCAAAGUGGUGCAGUGUAUUCAGACGAGCCUUUACAUGGCUCCUUUGCUUAUUUUUUAUUAUUCGUCUUGACAGAGCAACAGAGCCUUUCUUGUUGGCUAUGACCUCCAUCCUUUCCUUUUUGUUUGCUGAUGCUUUGGUGCGUUCUUUUCUUCAUUUGAUUGCAGACUGAGAUCUUUUGGGAAGGGCUAUCAUAGUGCCAGUGACAGAGUGAGAACCCUUUGUGGUUUCUGCAAAUUGUUGCAGAGGAAUGCUGCUUUGGUGACCUUCGUGGGUGUGAAUCAUCAGUCUCUCAAGUUUUGGCCCCUGUUCUUUCUCCAAUUUGCAGAAUUUUUGCUCUGCUGAAGGUGGGUUGGGCAAGUAACAAAGCAUCUGGUCUGUUGAUGUUUUCUAUUUUUUUGGUACUCAAGAACACUCGCAAGGUCUUCUCUGAGUACCACAAUGUGCCUAUGGACACUCACAAGGUGUUCACAGCACUUGUACAGUGGGGUUCUUGCAGAAGCCCAUCUGUAAUUCACAACAGAGAGGUCCUUGUGAGAGCUCUCUUUGUGUGAGUAGCACAGCUAUUGCCAAUUUGGGAGGAUUUGUUUGCAUUUUUCCACUGCUGAAGUCUCUGUUGAUAUGAUACAUUUCUUGAUAUCAAACAUAGAGGAAGUUCAAACUUCUGUACGGUGGCCUCACAUACAUGUUUUUUUGCCUGCAAGUCAGUUGUACAUAAAAGGAUACUCAAAUGAAUUUGUUUAUACCUUCUGAAUGGUAUUAUG